rnacentral:rRNA from 1 species
CCCGCAACGAGCGCAACCCUUGUCUUUAGUUGCCAUCAUUAAGUUGGGCACUCUAGAGAGACUGCCAGGGAUAACCUGGAGGAAGGUGGGGAUGACGUCAAAUCAUCAUGCCCCUUAUGCUUAGGGCUACACACGUGCUACAAUGGGUAGUACAGAGGGUUGCCAAGCCGUAAGGUGGAGCUAAUCCCUUAAAGCUACUCUCAGUUCGGAUUGUAGGCUGAAACUCGCCUACAUGAAGCUGGAGUUACUAGUAAUCGCAGAUCAGAAUGCUGCGGUGAAUGCGUUCCCGGGUCUUGUACACACCGCCCGUCACACCACGGGAGUUGGAGACGCCCGAAGCCGA